rnacentral:rRNA from 1 species
AUUGAACGCUGGCGGCAGGCUUAACACAUGCAAGUCGAGCGAGCGGCGGACGGGUGAGUAAUGUCUGGGAAACUGCCUGAUGGAGGGGGAUAACUACUGGAAACGGUAGCUAAUACCGCAUACCAUCAGAUGUGCCCAGAUGGGAUUAGCUAGUAGGUGGGGUAAUGGCUCACCUAGGCGACGAUCCCUAGCUGGUCUGAGAGGAUGACCAGCCAAACUGGAACUGAGCAACGGGCCAGACUCCUACGGGAGGCAGCAGGGGGGAAUAUUGCACAAUGGGUGCAAGCCUGAUGCAGACAGGCCGCGUGUGUGAAGAAGUCCUUCGGGUUGGAAAGCACUUUCAGCGAGGAGGCGUUACUCGCAGAAGAAGCACCGGCUAACUCCGUGCCAGCAGCCGCGGGAUUG